rnacentral:tRNA from 1 species
UGUAGCUCAGUUAGCAAAGUGCUUGCCUCACAUGCAGGAAGGCCUGGGUUCAAUCCCCAGCA